GCUCCUCCCCCCACUCAUGCUCUCUCUCUCUCUCUGUAUCAAAUAAGUUAAUAAAGUCUUUAAAAGAAAAAGUUAUCUACUUCAUUUAUAUCAGAACUCACAGUUGUAAAGAAGAUUUUGUUAAUACCAUUUAUUCAGUGCCUACUUGCUGCUAAUUUUAUGAGGCUUUCUUUAGACAUUAACACUAACUAUAGGCUAGCUUAAAUGUGUUUUAAAUUCUGAUACAGACUUCUGUAGUCAGGUGCAUCUCAGUUUCUGUGUUAAUUCAGAAAUCAUCAUCAGAUUUUUUUUAUAAUUUUAUUUAUUUAUUUGACGGACAGAGAUC